rnacentral:rRNA from 1 species
ACGGGUGAGUAAUACAUCGGAACGUGCCCUGUAGUGGGGGAUAACUAGUCGAAAGAUUAGCUAAUACCGCAUACGACCUGAGGGUGAAAGUGGGGGACCGCAAGGCCUCAUGCUAUAGGAGCGGCCGAUGUCUGAUUAGCUAGUUGGUGAGGUAAAGGCUCACCAAGGCGACGAUCAGUAGCUGGUCUGAGAGGACGAUCAGCCACACUGGGACUGAGACACGGCCCAGACUCCUACGGGAGGCAGCAGUGGGGAAUUUUGGACAAUGGGCGAAAGCCUGAUCCAGCAAUGCCGCGUGUGUGAAGAAGGCCUUCGGGUUGUAAAGCACUUUUGUCCGGAAAGAAAUGGCUCUGGCUAAUACCCGGGGUCGAUGACGGUACCGGAAGAAUAAGGACCGGCUAACUACGUGCCAGCAGCCGCGGUAAUACGUAGGGUCCAAGCGUUAAUCGGAAUUACUGGGCGUAAAGCGUGCGCAGGCGGUUGUGCAAGACCGAUGUGAAAUCCCCGAGCUUAACUUGGGAAUUGCAUUGGUGACUGCACGGCUAGAGUGUGUCAGAGGGGGGUAGAAUUCCACGU